rnacentral:rRNA from 1 species
GACGAACGCUGGCGGCGUGCUUAACACAUGCGAGUCGUACGGUAAGGCCCUUUCGGGGGUACACGAGUGGCGAACGGGUGAGUAACACGUGAGUAACCUGCCCACAACUUUGGGAUAACGCUAGGAAACUGGUGCUAAUACUGGAUAUGUGCUCCUGCUGCAUGGUGGGGGUUGGAAAGCUCCGGCGGUUGUGGAUGGACUCGCGGCCUAUCAGCUUGUUGGUGGGGUAGUGGCCUACCAAGGCGGCGACGGGUAGCCGGCCUGAGAGGGUGACCGGCCACAUUGGGACUGAGAUACGGCCCAGACUCCUACGGGAGGCAGCAGUGGGGAAUAUUGCACAAUGGGCGCAAGCCUGAUGCAGCAACGCCGCGUGCGGGAUGACGGCCUUCGGGUUGUAAACCGCAUUCAGCAGGGACGAAGCUUUUUGUGACGGUACCUGCAGAAGAAGCACCGGCUAACUACGUG